rnacentral:lncRNA from 1 species
AGGUGCCGGGCGGAGGCCCGGCGCGGCGUUAGUAGAGACGCGCCGGGUGCCAGCCCCUCGCCGCACCUUAAAUUGUUGACAAAGUGCUCCCACUUUGUGGCUGGAGCCGUACGACCUUGGCGCGGGUCCCCGAGUGGCGGGCUGGAAAAGCUGGAGGCCAGAGCCGUUCGCGGACUCGCCCGAGCCCAGCCAGCCAGUGGGGAGAGGCAGGACGCGGACUCCGCGUGCUUUGAUUGCGCCCGGCAGUCCUCGGCGUGGGCUCCCGGCCUCGCAGCGGCAGCUGCAGCUGCAGCGGCACGCGAGAGCUGUCAAAUGCACGUUCUCGGACCCCACCCGGACCCGCGGAAUUCGAAUCUCUGGGUGGGUCCGCGCAACUGUGGAGUGGCCCUCCAGGUGAUGGUGUGUAUUGCUUGCAAAGUUUGAGAACCACUCAGUUAUGGAGCACUCAGAGGCUGCAGCCGGAGUCCAGCCCUUUGGGUUAAGGUUAGAGGGAGCUAGGGUUUCCUUUUAAAAUUCAUGCUGCAUAAAGGGUAGGGUGGCCUUUCUCCUUUUCCGGGUCAUUUUGGUUAAAAAGAUAAAGAUGUUCGAAGUAAUUACUCAGAGCGCAGGGGCCGGGGCUUGGCUUUACUGUUGCAGGUGAUAACCUUGUCAACUGCUUAUUAGUGAAUGCUGAACAAAUUUCCCAAAGUUUGUAUUUUUAAAAAUAGAAAACCGUGAGGACAUACUGAAUGCCGGUGACAAAUUAACAGAGGUCCUUGAAGAGGCUAACACUCUGUUUAAUGAAGUGUCCCGAGCAAGAGAAGCAGUCCUGGAUGCCCACUUUCUUGUUUUGGCUUCAGAUUUGGGCAAAGAGAAAGCAAAGCAGCUGCGCUCAGACCUGAGCUCCUUUGACAUGUUAAGAUAUGUUGAAACUCUACUCACACAUAUGGGUGUAAAUCCGCUAGAAGCUGAAGAACUCAUCCGUGAUGAAGAUAGUCCUGAUUUUGAAUUCAUAGUCUAUGACUCCUGGAAGAUAACAGGCAGAACAGCAGAAAACACCUUUAAUAAAACCCAUACAUUCCACUUUCUGUAAGAUUAUUUUAAAAAUCCAACAGACCAGUUAUUUGUGAACCUUAAAUUGCUUUUUCUUGUAGGGACAAAGAUUAUUUGGUAUUGUAGAGGUGACAGUCAUGAUGCCGUUGUUUGGAGACUUUUGAAACUUUGAUAUGAAAGUUCAUAAACACUAGGCCGGGUGUGGUGGCUCAUGCCUGUAAUCCCGGCACUUUGGCAGGUGGAUGCAGGUAGAUCAUCUGAGCUCAGGAAUUCAAGAUCAGCCUGGGCAACAUGGCGAGAACCCAUCUCUACC